rnacentral:rRNA from 1 species
UACGUAGGGAGCAAGCGUUGUCCGGAAUCAUUGGGCGUAAAGCGCGCGUAGGCGGCCCCGUAAGUCCGCUGUGAAAGUCAAAGGCUCAACCUUUGAAAGCCGGUGGAUACUGUGGGGCUAGAGUCCGGAAGAGGCGAGUGGAAUUCCUGGUGUAGCGGUGGAAUGCGCAGAUAUCGGGAGGAACACCAGUGGCGAAGGCGGCUUCCUGGCCUGUUCUUGACGCUGAGGCGCGAAAGCUAGGGUAGCAAACGGG